rnacentral:rRNA from 1 species
AAUAGAUACCCAGGUAGUCCACGCCGUAAACGAUGAGUGCUAAGUGUUAGAGGGUUUCCGCCCUUUAGUGCUGCAGCUAACGCAUUAAGCACUCCGCCUGGGGAGUACGGCCGCAAGGCUGAAACUCAAAGGAAUUGACGGGGGCCCGCACAAGCGGUGGAGCAUGUGGUUUAAUUCGAAGCAACGCGAAGAACCUUACCAGGUCUUGACAUCCUCUGACACUCCUAGAGAUAGGAAUUUCCCCUUCGGGGGACAGAGUGACAGGUGGUGCAUGGUUGUCGUCAGCUCGUGUCGUGAGAUGUUGGGUUAAGUCCCGCAACGAGCGCAACCCUUGAUCUUAGUUGCCAGCAUUCAGUUGGGCACUCUAAGGUGACUGCCGGUGACAAACCGGAGGAAGGUGGGGAUGACGUCAAAUCAUCAUGCCCCUUAUGACCUGGGCUACACACGUGCUACAAUGGAUGGUACAAAGGGCAGCGAAGCCGCGAGGUGAAGCCAAUCCCAUAAAACCAUUCUCAGUUCGGAUU